GAACAGUUCGCUGAGUGUGUCUGCAGGAAGCUACGGGUCUCAGUGUGAAUGGGGUCACAGUGAUGGAGAGUACGGGGAAAAUCUCUACGCUGGAAGUCCAAUUAAUAAAAACCACGCUGCACUUGCCACUUCUGCUGUAACUAGCUGGGUGUCAGAGAAAGCAGUACAGGACCCCCCUGCAUGGAAAUGCUUCACCACUAAGCCCACAUGUGGUCACUAUAGCCAGGUCGUUUGGAGCAGAACAACAUCAGUAGGCUGUGCAAUCAUACAUUGCCCUGAUCUGGAUAACUAUGUCCUCUGUCAGUACUGGCCCCCUGGCAACUAC
rnacentral:sRNA from 1 species